rnacentral:misc_RNA from 1 species
AAAGUCGUAACAAGGUCUCCGUUGGUGAACCAGCGGAGGGAUCAUUACCGAGUUAUACUACUCCAAACCCUUUGUGAACCUUACCUUUUACUGCUGUUGCCUCGGCGGACGGCCGGGAGACCCCCGGCCCCCGCCGGCAGCACCAAACUCUUGAAUUUAUAGCGAUCUUACUUCUGAAUUACAAAACAAACGAAUUAAAACUUUCAACAACGGAUCUCUUGGUUCUG